CAGUGGCUUCUUACAGGGGAACAACUUCAAGCUGGUCGUAUUGAGCCUACUCUUAACCCUUGGAACACUCCAAUAUUUGUAGUUAAAAAAAAAAAAAAAGCAAAUGGAGAUUGUUAUAAGGUCUCAGAGCCAUUAGUUGAACUAUGGAAUCAAUGGGGAUUUAUAAUCUGGGCUUCCCUCUCCUAUAGCUUGAUUAUCAAUUAAUAGUAAUAGAUUUAAAAGAUUGUUUUUUCACUAUACCAUUACAUCCAGGUGAUUGUAAGAGAUUUGCUUUUAA
rnacentral:sRNA from 1 species